ensembl:lncRNA
UCGGGGCAAAAACAAAAGUGUUGCGUUUAUAAUUUUGUUCAGUUUAUAUAUUAUUAAGGGAAUGUAACUUAUAAAAACUGAAAUGCCACUUCUACCAUAUGUUUAUAUUGUAGAUUGUUGAGAGCAGGUCCCAGGUAAGAUGGCUGUAAAAUUGCUCCAUUCUGAUUCAUAGGGGCUCUAAGACACCAGCACAUCUACUGUUCUAUUAUCUGUGAUGGAAACAGCCAGCAACAGAGUGAGGGGCAACCUCAUGUGAAACUGCAUCUGAAUGCCAUCUGUCUUUCAAUAAAGCUCCCCAGUACUUGGCAGGUUUCAAUAGUUACCUUUCCAAAGACGCCCAGCUGUAUUGCGGUUCUAAUAGUUUUUGCAGCACUACAAACACAGCCUCUGAUUUAGAGACUAUUAACAACAAGUUUCAGCAUUCACUUCCAUUCAGUUCUCAUUUAUGUUGUUUAAUAACAAAACAAAAACAAAAAAAUCUGGUAUCCCUGUGGAAUGUACAUUAUAAUUUAAUGUCUCUCGUUGCCAUGUUCCCUCUUUGCAGGCACAGCCUGCUACAGAAUUUCCCUGUCAUUGACAUUUUGUCUUUGUAGAUACAACCACACGUUCGCCGCUGUCGGUGAGCUAGUGUUCAUGUUUGGGGGGUGCACGGAGGAUGGCUGCUACCACAAUGACGUCCACAUUCUCAACACAGAUACCCUUGUGUGGCAGAGGUACGAUGUGAAGGGGGAGUCACCACUGGCCUGCGCCGGCCAGACCCUCACGGCUCACCAUGACAAGGAUAUUUACUUGUUUGGCGGCAAAUGCAUCAGUCAGGAUGGAACAGUAACUUCAACAAAUGAGAUUAACAAAUUAAGCAUUGAUAUAUAUAUUUGGUGGCAAAAAUGAAGAACAAGAAUUCAAUGACCUGAAGGUGAUGAAAUUGAUAAACCCAUCAGAAAGACAGCCAGUGAUGAAGGAAAUUCUGUCUGAGUUUGGGCUUCAGGGAGUCAGUCAUGGUUUCACACCAACUAAAGUCCCCAACGUAAAGUAUGAGCUCAGUAAGUCUCCGUCUUCGUUUUCUAUGAGGACGGGUGCAGCUGCCUCUGCACAGGUCACAGCCCACAGAGACUUCAACGCUGUCCGAUGCCAUGCCUUGGAAAUGAUCCAUAAAGCGUUCUCAAUGCUUGACCAAGAGUUCCAAAAGCUUGACGGAGAAAGGUCAGAGCUUGCUCAAGCUACCGCAGCUCUUAAGUAUGAGAGAGAAGCUCUCCAAGCCCAACACCUGCAACAAGAGGCAGAACUACAGGAAAUGUUGGAGAGACACAGAGCCCAGAAUGAGAACUGGCUACGUGCACGGGCAGAGGAGAAUGACAAGGAGAGGAAGGAGCUGUGUAAACUCAGGGAGGAUAUUGUGCAGGAGCAAGAAAGACUAAAAGAGGAGCAGGGAAACAUCCAGAAACGAAGCGAGCACCUCCUAUCCAUCAUGAAACAGUUCAAAGGCAUGUAAAUACAUGUCUCCAUAGCAACCAACUGGAGAAAACAGAUCUCCCGUGGAUAAAAUGGAAGAAUAGAUUUGACAUUCAUUUGUGUUUUCUGCUGGUGUGUUUGAAUAAUUAGCAUUGUGAGCAUAGGAGAAAUUUGCAUUUGUUGUCUUUUGCCAAAGAGUCAUCUUAUCUUAGAGAGGCGGUGAGGUCAGAGGAAUCAUGUUGACCUUGUCAUAAAAGGGAUAAUAUUUUAACCUGACUGGUACAAAAUCCUAGAGCAUACUAAGUGGGACUAUUAUGAAGGCCUAUGGAAAAUGUUGUAAAGGAAAGUAACAAACAAUCAAUCUGUUUUGUGUUGAAUAAUAAAGCAAUAGUGCAGCGCUCUUUGUAGUUUUGCACAUAUCUGCAGAGAUACACAUUCUGUUCCCUAAUCUUUUAAAUAAUCACACACACUUUUAC